UAAAAUGUUCGAAAUUUGCUCCGUUUUUUUCUAAACGCAAUUCCAGUCGACGACUCACUUCUCCAUAGGUUGCUGCCGAAAUUCGUUCUUUUGUUAAUUGUCUGCACGCCGCCGUUAUUUUAUUUUUUAAAUCCCGUAAGUUUGCUGGUGGUUCUGCACAAACAACAGUCUUCGAAUGACCCCAUGAAAAAAAGUGUAAUGGUGUUAGAUCAGGUGACCGCGGGGGCCGUUCCGCCGGCCCGUGAGUUCCCCAUCCACCGAUUUCCAAACAUUUCGUUUGACUGUCGUCUUACAACAAGGAGCGUUACGAGCGGGUGCUCCGUCCUGUUGAAAAAACAAGUUUCGACGCAGCGAUAAAGGGACACAUCUUCCAACAUCGCCGGCGGCAAAGUUAAGAAAUCCGAAUAACGUCUCCCAUUAAGAGUACCGUCGUAAAAACGCGGACCUAUCAAAUUUCCUCCUAAUAAUCCGCACCGCGCAUUUGUGCCCCGUACUGUUUGACGGUUUGUAUCGACCGCCCCCCAAUGCGGGAUUUCCGUUUGACCAAUAACGGUUAUUAUGCUUAUUUAAAACGCCAUUAUCGGUAAACUCCGAUCCAUCGGUCCGCAAAACGUAAUUUAAAAACAAUGUCCGUCGUUAUUUGUACGUGCUGUCAUCCGCGCAACAAAUGUCAAUCCACGUUCGUCAUCACCUCCGCGUAAACGCUGAACUGGAUCGGCCCCAUAAGGACGUAACUUGUAUUUUUUUUUUGAAUAUUUCGCGUACCUUUGUUUUUGAAAAGCCGAAUUCUCUAGCGACGUGUCUUAAAGACGAGCGAGGACGUUAAUCGAACGUCGUGCGCAAUUACUUCGUUUUCCCGACCGUCGUCAUAUUCGGUUCCAUAUUGCGUAGUGGUCGUCUCUGUGAAAUCUCUUAUCGGAAAAGUCCCGUAAGUUCGUGAAUUAUUAACCGAUGUUAAAAAAAAAAAAUUACGCGGUGGACCACGUCUUUCGGGAUAUCGAUUUGCAUAAACCCUUGCAGUCUCCCGACAACGUUUAUUACACUAGCCGUGAAUUAAAAUCGUGUCGACUUUUUCACUGUCGUUUAACAUUUUAAAGAAGAAAAAACGAAAAAUCUCUCAAAGUGUCGUGUUGAAAGUUAUUAGUGCCGUCGAUGAAC